UGGUUCUCCAAAUACCUCUUGAGAAUUGGCAAUGGAAUGGAGGAGACGAUCGGUGAUGAUUAUGUGCGUCUGCCUGAUGACAUUGUGAUAGGUUACACACCUGGUGAUGCACCAGUCAUGAAGUUUAUUGAACAUGUGUUCCCAUCUCUUCAUGAGAAUGCAUCAUCCGGUGCCUACAUGAGCACAUGUGCUAUUCUUUCUACCAAGAAUGAGCACGUGGACGACGUAAAUGCAAAGAUGAUCGACAGAUUUCCCGGCCAACAAAAGGUAUACUACAGCUUUGAUUCAAUUGAUGAUGAUACACACAAUAACUACCCAAUUGACUAUCUGAACAACCUCACUCCGAAUGGCUUGCCUCCCGAUAUUUUAAAAGUUAAAGUCAAUUGUCCUGUCAUUCUACUCCAAAAUCUCGAUCCUAAUAAUGGACUUUGCAAUGGAACGAGAUUGAUGAUUAGAGCUUUCCAAAAUAAUACAAUCGAUGCCGAGAUUGUUGGUGGACAACAUGCUGGAAAGAGAGUGUUCAUCCCUAGGAUCCCGAUGGCACCCUCGGAGGAUAUUUCACUUCCUUUCAAGUUGAAGAGUAAGCAAUUCCCUAUUCGUCUGAGUUUUGCAAUGACCAUAAACAAAGCUCAGGGGCAAACCCUCCCAACUGUUGGCAUUUACCUUUCGGAUCCUGUAUUCUCACACGACCAGCUUUAUCUUGCACUGUCAAGGGGUGUUUCAAGGCGGACAACUCGGGUUCUGGCAAAGCCAAAUAAAGAAAUAGAUCAGACGGGUAAAAGCACCAAGAACAUUGUGUACAGAGAUGUAUUGGAGGGAUAA
rnacentral:rRNA from 1 species